rnacentral:lncRNA from 1 species
GGCUUUAGCCACGCCUGUGUCUGGGUGUUCCGUGCCAUCGAGGAGUCAAAGCCACACAUGGACCUUGAUUAUUGCAAUGCUCCUGAGCAUCCUGGUUGCUCUGGGUUCUGUCGCUGUCUGGGGCCUGUCCAAAGCAAAAAGCAGAUCUGACAUCUUCAGUCCUGAAAAAGCAUCCAGGGAACAGCUGGUGCCUGACAAGAACCCGACAGGCUCAUUUCCCUCAAGGGGAUCUUUACUGUGAGGUGAUGAGAUGGGACUAGCCUGCUCUCUCCUUCCUGCUCACCGCAGAGACUGACUGAAUUGGACAUAAACUCUCAAAUCUGCGUUGUUACACUGGAAAAACAAGAGGAUGCUCCCCUUGGAAAUGAGUCUUAGAUUGUGGGACAACUUUGGCACUGGAAAUAACGCAGGACCUUCCCUGGUGCUGUGAAAUCACCAUCACAGAGGUGGUAGAAAUUCCUUCAUGGUUCUUGCCUCCAGCAGUUGUUAAUACUGAUUCUCACCAGUGCAGCCUUGGACCCAAAUAUUUUAUUCUCCAUGACAUGACCGGCACUAGGUGCUAUUCAGCUGUUUUCUUCCACUUCCAGCCAAGAGACGUUUUUCACCUGCCCCAUUCUUCCCUCUGGGUUUUGUCGGGCAACAGAGGCUUUUCAUCCAUUCCAGCAGGAGCUCACUGACCCCGCACAGAUCAGAUGUGUAGUCCAUGUUUGCGCUGUUGUUUUGAUGCUGUUCGUUCCGGUGUACAGGCAGCUUUUUACUGACAGGUCAGCACAGGUGUGAAAGUUGAAAAUCUCUCUCUCUGCUCUGGCUUUUGCUGCGCUGCCACCCCCGUCAGCACAGGGCGAGCAGCUCCUGGGCUCACUCCCUGCCAGUGUGUUGCUUCUCUAACACUCUUAAAGGUUUCUUCCUUAAAACUAUUCUGACAUGAGUGGUGUACCUCAAGGAUCCAUACUGGGACCAACGCUAUUUAAUAUCCUCGCCAGUGGUGUGUAUAGUGGGGUCGAGCGCACCCUCAGCAAGUUUAUGGGUGACACCGAGCUGAGCAGUGCAGUCGAUUCACUGAGGGAGGGGACACCCCCCCAUCCAGAGGGACCUUCAGUGCGCCCGUGUGAACAUCAUGAAGUUCAGUAAGGUCAAGUGCAAGGUCCUGCACCAUCACUGGAGAAGAGAAAGCUCUAGGGAGACCUUGUUGUGUCUUUUCUAUAUAUAAAGGGGCUUGUAAGAAGAAUAGAGGGUUUUACCAAAGCCUGCAGUGACAGGACAAGGGGCAAUGGUUAUACACUGAAAGAGCGGAGAUUUCACUUGCACAUAAGGAAGAAAUGUUCAGUGAGGGUGGUGAGCAAGCUGGUUUAGUGGAAGGUGUCCCUGCCCAUGGCAGGGGGUUGGACUAGGUCAUCUUUAAGGUCCUCUCCAACCCAGUCUGUACUACUAUGAGGCUUUGAACAUUUGUCCUUUUUUUUUUCAGCUUGAAAUAAGUCGUGUCUUGAAUCAAACACUGCAUGUCAUGGCACGUGUAGCUCUUUCUGCACAGCUCAGUGCUGUUUGCUUUCAGAAGAACUGACAGCGGAGGGAGGAGAUUCCUGACCAGUGCCUCUAGUUCAGUGCUGACCACGUGUUCUGUGCACAAGCGUUCACUGGGUGCGCAAAGGACUGAAAGCAGCUGCCUCGGCGCUGAUCUCUGUGCCUUAGAGGUGAGAACUCGCCUUGCCAAGCAGACACCGGUCAGCAGCCUCAGGGCAGGAGUCUUCCCCUCCUAGGGGGUGUGCAAGUGUGCUGCUGCACCCGUGGGGAGAAACUUCUCUUGUGGUCUGGAGUGUUAGUUAUUCCAGUGCUGCUGGUUUUAGUACCAAGGGUCCUUUGCAAGGGUGUGCAGAACCUUCCUUCUGUUUCCAUAGGGACAAGUAGAGAUGCAAUAGUUGUUGGUGAAUGGCACAGGAGAAUAAAGAACUUGAAACUAGUGAGUUCUGGAUUUUUUUGUUUUUCUUGGAUUUGUGCUUUAGCUUGAAUUCUGUAGUUGGGAACUGUAUCACCUUUGGAUUGUCACGACUCGUGGAGGGUGGGCAGACAGGGAAAGCGAGCGCUG